rnacentral:rRNA from 1 species
GACGAACGUUGGCGGCGUGCUUAACACAUGCAAGUCGAACGGAAAGGCCCUGCUUUUGUGGGGUGCUCGAGUGGCGAACGGGUGAGUAACACGUGAGUAACCUGCCCUUGACUUUGGGAUAACUUCAGGAAACUGGGGCUAAUACCGGAUAGGAGCUCCUGCUGCAUGGUGGGGGUUGGAAAGUUUCGGCGGUUGGGGAUGGACUCGCGGCUUAUCAGCUUGUUGGUGGGGUAGUGGCUUACCAAGGCUUUGACGGGUAGCCGGCCUGAGAGGGUGACCGGCCACAUUGGGACUGAGAUACGGCCCAGACUCCUACGGGAGGCAGCAGUGGGGAAUAUUGCACAAUGGGCAGAAGCCUGAUGCAGCAACGCCGCGUGCGGGAUGACGGCCUUCGGGUUGUAAACCGCUUUCGCCUGUGACGAAGCGUGAGUGACGGUAAUGGGUAAAGAAGCACCGGCUAACUACGUGCCAGCAGCCGCGGUGAUACGUAGGGUGCGAGCGUUGUCCGGAUUUAUUGGGCGUAAAGGGCUCGUAGGUGGUUGAUCGCGUCGGAAGUGUAAUCUUGGGGCUUAACCCUGAGCGUGCUUUCGAUACGGGUUGACUUGAGGAAGGUAGGGGAGAAUGGAAUUCCUGGUGGAGCGGUGGAAUGCGCAGAUAUCAGGAGGAACACCAGUGGCGAAGGCGGUUCUCUGGGCCUUUCCUGACGCUGAGGAGCGAAAGCGUGGGGAGCGAACAGGCUUAGAUACCCUGGUAGUCCACGCUGUAAACGGUGGGUACUAGGUGUGGGGUCCAUUCCACGGGUUCCGUGCCGUAGCUAACGCUUUAAGUACCCCGCCUGGGGAGUACGGCCGCAAGGCUAAAACUCAAAGGAAUUGACGGGGCCCCGCACAAGCGGCGGAGCAUGCGGAUUAAUUCGAUGCAACGCGUAGAACCUUACCUGGGUUUGACAUGGAUCGGGAGUGCACAGAGAUGGGUGUGCCUCUUUUGGGGUCGGUUCACAGGUGGUGCAUGGCUGUCGUCAGCUCGUGUCGUGAGAUGUUGGGUUAAGUCCCGCAACGAGCGCAACCCUUGUUCACUGUUGCCAGCACGUUAUGGUGGGGACUCAGUGGAGACCGCCGGGGUCAACUCGGAGGAAGGUGGGGAUGACGUCAAGUCAUCAUGCCCCUUAUGUCCAGGGCUUCACGCAUGCUACAAUGGCUGGUACAGAGAGUGGCGAGCCUGUGAGGGUGAGCGAAUCUCGGAAAGCCGGUCUCAGUUCGGAUUGGGGUCUGCAACUCGACCUCAUGAAGUCGGAGUCGCUAGUAAUCGCAGAUCAGCAACGCUGCGGUGAAUACGUUCCCGGG